GAUGAAGAACGCAGCGAAAUGCGAUAAGUAGUGUGAAUUGCAGAAUUCAGUGAAUCAUCGAAUCUUUGAACGCACAUUGCGCCCUUUGGUAUUCCUUAGGGCAUGCCUGUUCGAGCGUCAUUUAAACCUUCAAGCUUAGCUUGGUGUUGGGUGACUGUCCGCUUCACGGCGGACUCGCCUCAAAAUUAUUGGCGGCCGGUACAUUGGCUUCGAGCGCAGCAGAAACGCGAACUCGGGCCCGUCGUAUUGGCUCCCAGAAGCUAUCUUCACAAUUUUGACCUCGGAUCAGGUAGGGAUACCCGCUGAACUUAAGCAUAUCAAUAAGCGGAGGA
rnacentral:misc_RNA from 1 species